rnacentral:rRNA from 1 species
UUUGAUCAUAAUUUAAAGUCUGACCUGCCCAAUGAGGAGUUAAAUGGCCGCGGUAAUUUGACCGUGCAAAGGUAGCAUAAUCAUUAGUUUUUUAAUUGGAAGCUGGAAUGAACGGUUGGACGAGGGAGUAACUGUCUCGGUUUAAUUGAUUUAGAAUUUUAUUUUUAAGUAAAAAAGCUUAAAUAAAUUUAAAAGACGAGAAGACCCUAUAGAGUUUUACACAAUUUAUUAUAUGAAAGUAUUAGUAUAUAUCUAUUUAUAUAAUAACUUGUGUUUUGUUGGGGCGACAGAAAAAUUAAAUGAACUUUUUAUAUAUUGGAACAUUAAUGUAUGAGUGAAUGAUCCGCCAAGGGCGAUUAUAAGAUUAAAUUACCUUAGGGAUAACAGCGUAAUUUUUUUUGAGAGUUCUAAUCGAAAAAAGAGUUUGCGACCUCGAUGUUGGAUUAAAAUUAAUUUUCGGUGUAGGGGCUGAAAUAUUGGGUCUGUUCGACCUUUAAAAUU